rnacentral:rRNA from 1 species
CGUAGGUGGCAAGCGUUGUCCGGAUUUAUUGGGCGUAAAGGGAGCGCAGGCGGUGACUUAAGUCUGAUGUGAAAGCCCACGGCUUAACCGUGGAGGGUCAUUGGAAACUGGGUCACUUGAGUGCAGAAGAGGAAAGCGGAAUUCCAUGUGUAGCGGUGAAAUGCGUAGAUAUAUGGAGGAACACCAGUGGCGAAGGCGGCUUUCUGGUCUGUAACUGACGCUGAGGCUCGAAAGCGUGGGGGAGCAAACAGGAUU